GUUCCUUCUGCUCUCGUUUGUCUUCUUCUCUCUGGUGAUUCUGAGAAAUGAAAAUUGAUAAUAGAAAAACAGAGAAUGAUGAGGGUGAUGGUAUAAUUUUUGUUGUACGAAGGAGAAUAAGGGAGGUAUAAUCCUAAAAACAGUGAAUUUUAGGUUCUUUGUGUGAGGUUAUGAAUCAGGGAGACAGUUAGGGUUAUGUAUUCUUGAGGUGAAGAAAUCAUGAAAAGAUGAUGGAUCCGUUGAGAACCCCGGUGAUUCAUGGUGGUGCUGUUAAAUCAAGUAUUGAUUCAAAUCAGAAAAAUGUCUCUCCUUGCAUCGACGCAAAUAAGGAAACAGGUGCUGAUAGAUGCCGUUAGAACUGUAGAUAAGGACUCAGGUGCGUCGUUUUCCUGUUUUGUGUAUACGCUGACUAUAAAAUUACCAAGUUAUUGCUAUUUUUCCUUGCCGAAAAGUUCAAACUUGGUUGUAGAAUUUGUUGUCUUUGUAUACAAUACACAAGCAUGCAGAAUAUGGUCUUGCAACAACUUGGCUUAAUAAAGAAUACGAGAAUACGGUGCCACAGUCAAAGGAUAUACAUGUACUCAAGGCUGACCCAGUCCAAAUGAGUAGAGAAUGAAACUGAUAUGAAUGACGGAGACGCUGAUGAACUUUGCAAGUGUAGGUCCUUUGAAAAAGGACAUCCAGUUCUCAGGGUGGAAACAAGUCACCUUCUUGCUUCAGUUAUUGUAAAGUUUCGUAAUCCUUUAUUUUGUAAAUAUUUUAUUCGUGUAACGAGUACUUUUCUAGGUAAACCAGAGAAUGUAGGUUAAAUUUUGCAGUGUAGAUAACAGUAGUCGAUAGCUGCUUAUGGCUGUGAGCAUAUGCACCCAUAAGCAUAAGUGGCGUAGAUGGGAAGCAUAUGCAGAUCUCCACAAAAAGGUUUGUGAUUUUUUCCAAUCAAAUGGGUAAUGAUGGUUUGCUCCAGGAGAUGGUGAUUGGUGUACUUGCCCAGAAAGGUACAUACUUUCUUUAAAGAUGCUUAAGAUCAGAGGCCAAUUCAAUACUAGAGAAGUUGAAUCAAAUGCUAUAUAUGGUUGGAACUUGGUAGAAGAACUACAUACUGCUGCCAACUACAUUCGAUGAAGAACUUUACAAGGUUAGAAUUUAUCAAGACUUCCAAGUCUUAUCUGUAUUUGAGUACUGAAUACUGAUUGUAGUAUGCUGACGAUUUUUAGAAACUGGAUUUUCUUUCAAAUGAUAUAUUUUCUAAGGCUUUGGUAAGCAGUGGAAGAACAGUAAGUCUUCAAGAACUAUUGAGUUAUAUUUGACUAUGGUGUACAAUGGAUUUGCAAGGUACUUCACACUAUGCUCCGACCAAAUUGUUUGUCACGGCCUUUGUUUCAGAAUUGAUACCCUGAAAGUGAUGUUUGGGUCUAUCCUGUUACCAUAUGCAUCACCCAAGUGUUUUAAGUCAUCUUCUUUGUUUAUAAGGUUGAGCAGUUAAGAAUGAGGUUUAUCCACUAUUCCUCCAGGGAGGGCUUGCCGGUGAUAGACGGUGUGUAGUCCCAGCUUCAGGAUUUGGUUUUAGUGCACAUCAGAUAUGUAAAGUUGUCCUAGACAACACC